rnacentral:rRNA from 1 species
GACGAACGCUGGCGGCGUGCUUAACACAUGCAAGUCGAACGGAAAGGCCCUGCUUUCGUGGGGUGCUCGAGUGGCGAACGGGUGAGUAACACGUGAGUAACCUGCCCUUGACUUUGGGAUAACUUCAGGAAACUGGGGCUAAUACCGGAUAGGAGCUCCCGCUGCAUGGUGGGGGUUGGAAAGUUUCGGCGGUUGGGGAUGGACUCGCGGCUUAUCAGCUUGUUGGUGGGGUAGUGGCUUACCAAGGCUUUGACGGGUAGCCGGCCUGAGAGGGUGACCGGCCACAUUGGGACUGAGAUACGGCCCAGACGCCUACGGGAGGCAGCAGUGGGGAAUAUUGCACAAUGGGCGGAAGCCUGAUGCAGCAACGCCGCGUGCGGGAUGACGGCCUUCGGGUUGUAAACCGCUUUCGCCUGUGACGAAGCGUGAGUGACGGUAAUGAGUAAAGAAGCACCGGCUAACUACGUG